AUGAGCACAGGGAAUGGCCCUAUGAGUUUGGGGACAUGGGGAUCCCCGUCCCAGGGGACAGCCCCUCACCUGCCCGUCCUGCUCCCCGAGGCAGACCCGCAGGGAGGCGAAGCCGGCGUGCGAGCUCCUCUGGAUGCCCCGCACCACGCACGAGCUGAUGCACAGCUCGCUGCCGGCCGCUGCGCACCGCAGGAAAUCCUCCUCCCGCAGCUCCUCCACCUUCCUCUGCUCGCCGCCGGGCAGCAGCGCCAGGGAGCCCCUCUGGAAGUGGGGCAGCACCACGGGCGUGCUGGCGGUGGGCAGCAGCAUGGCCCAGAGCCCCCCCGGUGCCGGCUGGGUUUUGGCACCGCCGGUACGAGACCGCGGGGCAGAGCGGCCGGGAGUAGAGCAACGCGUGGGAUGGUGCCGUGGGGGGCAGCCCUGGGGUGGUGGGAAUAUGGGCAGACAGUGGGGUGGGUGUCAUGGGGACAGUCCCCGAGCCAGUGGGGGGCUGCUCCUCGCCUGUCCCCUGCGGGGAAGCCGCCCUGGGAGGGGGCUGCGGAAGGGCAGCGUUGGUGGAAGGUGGAGGUGAGGGGUUGGGGGUCUCUGAGGGGUUUGGGGUGUUGGGGGGGACGCUGGCAUCGUGCAGGCUGGCAGCUGCCCUGCUCGGCUCGCCCGUGCCCACUGCCAGUCCGUAAUACAGCCGUGCCCUGGGGACACUGCCUGUGGGCAAUGGGGUUACCGAGGGGAGCCCCCCGCCCGGCUCUGUGCCCCCAGCUGGUGCCACCGGGCUGGCAGCAGACCACAGCCCUGGCAGGGCCCCCACCGUCCCCAUCCCCAUGUCCUGCCUGUCCCUGUGCUGCCCGCUCGGGGACAUCCAGGCUGGGGUGUGCAGGCAGCUCCUGGCCCCGGGACAGCCUCGGGGGGGGCCCCAGCCCCUUCCGCAGGCGGUGGCGAUGCCCAGGGGCUGCGGGCAGCCCCCUGCUGCCCCAUCAGCCGUGCCCAUCAUGGAACCAGGGUCCCUCCUGUGCCCAGGGGGGGCGCAUCGUGCCCACGGCUGCUGGGUGCCCGCAGGAGCCACCGGCCUCACGCAGUGGGGUGGAUGCUGGGGCGAGGGGCGGGCAGCCCUGGGCCCCCCCGGCAGCACCCAGGCUCCUGGAGCUGCUGUGGAGCCCCAUGGCCUGGGGCUGCCCGGGGCCGGCAGCGCCUUCCUCGCCGUCAUCUCCCUCUUCUUCGGGGGCAGGCUGA
rnacentral:lncRNA from 1 species